rnacentral:tRNA from 1 species
UUGGUAUAUAGCCAAACUGGUAAGGCGCCUGACUCUGAAUCAGGUAAUUGUAGGUUCGAGACCUGCUAUCCAAA